GCUGUGUUUAUCAUAUAAAGUCUCCUUCCAUUUAAAACCCUCAACACGCACCCCACUGAAGAGACAAAUUUGACAAAUGAACAAAGAACAAAAUAUUGCAUGUUAACAUCAAACGGAGACUGACAUUUCCUUCUUUGUGAAGCAGAAAAGAAAUUACCCAGACAGUGUCAGGGAAAGCUCUGAGGAAGGAUCAGAAGCACUGAUCACCACUGGGCUGGGCUGAAGGGCUGCUGUGAGUCGGUGGACUGGAAGUCAAUGAAACCAGGCCUAAUUUAGCCUUCGCUCCUCCACGAGCUGCCAGGAGUAAGACAGAUGGUAAAAUCAGAGGGAAGGAAAAGGAAACAAAUCAGACCGAAAAAAAAACAAGCACACAAACCACAGGUCUGAAGACUCCCUGCAGUGAAACAGCACCCUAACCUGGAGAUUCAUCUCCCUGAGUUUUUCCAAGAUUUACACUUAUUAAUUUUUAAUGACCUAAACAUUACCCUUUACAGUGGUCUGGACUUUGUAAGAUAAAAAAAUGUGCAAAUGUGUUCUUGAAUAUGAUUGCAUUUGUGUAUAUGUUGAUGUUUUAAUCCAUAGUUACAGUCAUUGUCAUUGUUCUUUUAAAGUGAGCCAACUAUUUUUCUCCUCUUGGUGUCAGUGGGAUGAAUGUACACGUAUGCUUUUAUCUCUGAGUGAGUGCAGCGUCCCCAUGCAGCACAGCACACAACAGCAGAUAAAACAUGUUUUAAAAAUAUGAAUAUGUAUUAAUCCCACUAAAGUGUCUUAUAAUAGCAAAAGUCUUAUAAUGCCUGUGAAAAAAAACAUGCUCUAUGAGACAUGAUACACAAUAAUGAGUGUUUUAAUGCAAUCUGCCCUGUGUAGAUGUGAAGUGUUGAGUAGCAUUGUUGUCCACAUGCAAGAUAUAUAAAUUCCUGUCUCUGUCACACAGAAAGUUGGACUAGAUGUUUGUUUUGAAUUUGAAUAUUUUAAGCUCUGGAGACCAAAAUAUUUCCAAAGCAAACACAGUUAUUCUCAUGCUAUCAUUGAAAGUCACCCGUCAGUCUCAUUCUGCCAUUAAGAUUAUUUGCAGUAUG
ensembl:lncRNA